AAAAUCUGAGGACGGAACAGGCAGCCGUCGCGCCAUAUGGGUCUUAAAAGAGAUGUAGGAUUGUCACCCUACCUAUUUUA
rnacentral:ncRNA from 16 species